ensembl:scaRNA small Cajal body-specific RNA 24
GGGACAUUUAUUUUGUCUGUUUCUUCUUGCAGUGAAGAUAACUUUUUGUAAAUGUCCUGGAGAAAUGUAGUAGUUCAUAUUUUGCAAGAAGAAAGGAUGGAUCUUUUGUUUAAAAAAC